GAUGAACGCUGGCGGCGUGCCUAAGACAUGCAAGUCGAGCGAACGGACGAGAAGCUUGCUGCUGAGAUGUUAGCGGCGGGCGGGUGAGUAACACGUGGAUAACAUACUGAUAAGACGGGGAUAAGUUCGGGAAAGCGGAGCAAAUAGCGGGUAAUAGUGUGGACGGAAGGGUUCAAAAGGAAAGGACGGAGUUGCUGUGACUGAUAGAUGGAUCCGCGCUGCAUGAGCUAGUGGGUAAGGUAAAGGCUUACCAAGGCAACGAUGCAUAGCCGACCUGAGAGGUUGAUCGGCCACACUGGCACUGAGCCACCGUCCAGACUCCUACGGGAGGCAGCAGUCGGGCAUCUUCCGCAAUGGGCGGAAGCCUGACGGAGCACCGCCGCCUGAGUGAUGAAGGUCUUCGGAUCGUAAAACUCUGUUAUUAGGGAAGAACCUAUGUGUAAGUAACUGUGCACAUCUUGACGUUACCUAAUCAGAAAGCCACGGCUAACUACGUG
rnacentral:rRNA from 1 species